rnacentral:tmRNA from 1 species
GGGGCUGAUUCUGGAUUCGACGGGAUUCGCGAAACCCAAGGUGCAUGCCGAGGGGCGGUUGGCCUCGUAAAAAGCCGCAAAAAAAUAGUCGCAAACGACGAAAACUACGCUUUAGCAGCUUAAUAACAGUGGCGUGUCUGUCCGCAGGUGCCAGGCGAAUGUAAAGACUGACUAAGCAUGUAGUGCCGAGGAUGUAGGAAUUUCGGACGCGGGUUCAACUCCCGCCAGCUCCACCA